UACGUAGGUGGCGAGCGUUGUCCGGAUUUACUGGGCGUAAAGAGCGCGCAGGCGGUCGUACAAGUCGCGUGUGAAAGCCCCCGGCUCAACUGGGGAGGGUCACGCGAUACUGUUCGACUCGAAGGCAGGAGAGGGUAGUGGAAUUCCCGGUGUAGUGGUGAAAUGCGUAGAGAUGUGGAGGAACACCGAUGGCGAAGGCAGCCUCCUGGGCCAACACUGACGCUCAUGCACGAAAGCGUGGGGAGCAAACAGG
rnacentral:rRNA from 1 species